AGAAGGUUGAUUGACAGGCGAUCUCUCACUGAGUACUGAGAAUCUCAUCACGGUUUUACUGUGCUGCGUUGAUUAGCAUCUCUUCAACACCGACAAUACAGCUUGCUUCUGUAUUUCUGUGCUAAACAGAGAAGUAUUUUUCAGUGAUAAGCUUUAAGAGAGCAGAACACAAGUUGCAACCAAAACAUGGUCCUUCCUCUGGAGUCCUUGAAGAACGACACCAUGGCCCUCCGCCAGGAACCGACAGUUAUGGUUAGCAACCAGGAUGAAAUGAGUGUGAGCCUGCAGGCCAUCACCCAACAGCUUAAGAGCCUGCGCCACCAAAUUCACAAGCGCCAGAGACAGUUCAAUGGCUGGGAAAAUUUGGAGGAAAUGUUCACCACAGGGAAGGCAGAGGAAAAAGCUGCAAAGAAGAAAUGUGACUACCUUUUAAAAGAAGUGAGGGAGCUCAGCGACAAGGUGCAAAAUUACACCACUAUUGAGGCUUUGUGUAAAGAAACAAAAGCUUCAAAUGAGGCGAUGGAUCUGCAGCGUCAAACUCUGCAACAAACAGUUAGUGAUCUCAAAAACCGGCUCAACAACUUUGAUGAAGUGAAAGAAGAAUAUGAGGCCGUGAGACAAGAGCACGAGGAGCUGCAGAGUGAGAUUCACUACCUGCAGAAAGAACUCCAAAAUGAGACUAGUGUGGACAUAAUGUGUGCUGGAUUAAAACGGCAGACAGAGGCAAUGAGCCAGCACAACGCCGCCCUGCAAAGCCAACUCCUGGAGCUCAAGGAGAGGCAUCAGCAAUCCUACAACGAUGCAAAAGCUGAGAAAGAGGCGAUUAGCCAGCAGAAUGAGGCUUUGCGACAUCAGAUUCAUGAGAUGCGCGAAGAGAUCGAGAAAAAUAAUGAUUUGGAGGAAGAUGUAGAGGCAGUGAAGGUAUUAAAUGAACACAUGAGCUGUGAAAAUGACGCCUUGCUGCAGGAACUCCAGGCUCUCAAAAAUAAAUCAGACAAUUUAAACAUCUGGCGUGACAUGUACAAGGAAACAUUGGACCGCGUGGACGUUCUGAAGAAAGACAACGAUAAUUUGAAUCAGCAAAUCCAAGUCGUGAACGACCAACUCAGGAUUACAAGACAUUUAAAGGACAAUUAUGUAGAACUGGAAGCUGAAGAGAAAGUUCUGCAGGCACAAAACCGAGCCCUGGGUAAAACCCAUUCUGAUGUUUUUAAGAAGCUUCUGAAUGAACGAGACUGGAAGUACAAAUACGACGUUCUGAAACAACAGACAGACGACUUGACGCUCCAGAACAACAAAGCCAUGGAGGAAAUCCAAAAUUUUAAUGAAAACCUCAGAGUUUUGAAUGCCUUUCAGGCGAAUUAUAAAGCACUGAAGGCAGAGAAAAAAGUUCUCAUGAACCACAACAACACUCUGCAGAAAGAACUACAGAAGCUGGAGAAAAAGUUCUCCAAAGAAGAAACUCUGGAGGAAAGAAACAAUGACUUGAAGUCAGAGAACGAAGCUGUGAGCCAAGAAAACAGAGCUCUGCAGCUUAAAGUUCAGGAGCUCGGCAACACACUCCGAGGUGAGAGUGUUUGGGCCAACACAUAUGAUUCUCUGAAAGUGGAGAAAAACUCCUUGAACCGGCUGAAUAAAGCCCUUCAUAAAGAACUACAGAAGGUUACUAAAAAGGCAGAUAAAGAAAAAGCUCUGGAGGGGAAGUGUACAGCGAUGAGGUUGAAGACAGAGAACAACCGCAGACAACAGGACUCCCUGAAAGAACAAAUCAGCGCCCAGAUGUGAUACUGUGGUGUCAUAUUUUAGUAGCAUGGAGUCCCCCACCCCAAACACACUUUCUUAAUUUGGCAAAUAUUUCAUGCAGUGAUUGCAUGGAUUUACUCUAAGUCCUCUGGUUCCCUCCCACACCUAAAAACAUUCCUAACGUGGCCUCCAUUCCUAAAAAGUUCAUCAAUUCCUGCAGUGACUGCAUGGGUUUACAUAUAGUUUCCUCCCUCAACAAUCUUCUUAAUUUGGCUAUUCAUUAAUAAAAAAAAUAAAAAAUAAAUCAAUAUACAGUUGUUGUAAGUGUCAUGUGUAAAUAUAAAUUAAGUUACUUAAGUUUUG
ensembl:lncRNA